rnacentral:rRNA from 1 species
CAGUAGCCGCGGUAAUACAGAGGGUGCGAGCGUUAAUCGGAUUUACUGGGCGUAAAGCGUGCGUAGGCGGCUUCUUAAGUCGGAUGUGAAAUCCCUGAGCUUAACUUAGGAAUUGCAUUCGAUACUGGGAAGCUAGAGUAUGGGAGAGGAUGGUAGAAUUCCAGGUGUAGCGGUGAAAUGCGUAGAGAUCUGGAGGAAUACCGAUGGCGAAGGCAGCCAUCUGGCCUAAUACUGACGCUGAGGUACGAAAGCAUGGGGAGCAAACAGGAUUAGAUACCCCUGUAGUCCCUGUCUCUUAUAC